ensembl:rRNA 5S_rRNA 5S ribosomal RNA
AUCUAUGGCCAUUCUGCCCUGAACACACCUGAUCUCAUCUGAUCUCAGAAGCUAAGCAGGGUCAGGGCUGGUUAGUACUUGGAUGGGAGACCAGGAGAAUGACUGUGCAGCAAAGAAG